rnacentral:rRNA from 1 species
GAUGAACGCUGGCGGCGUGCCUAAUACAUGCAAGUCGAGCGAACGGACGAGAAGCUUGCUUCUCUGAUGUUAGCGGCGGACGUGUGAGUAACACGUGGAUCACCUACCUAUAAGACUGGGAUAACUUCGGGAAACCGGCGCUAAUACCGGAUGAUAUUUUGAACCGCAUUGUUCAAUAGUGAAAUUCGGUCUUGCUGUCACUUAUAGCUGCAUCCGCGCUGCAUUAGCUAGUUGGUAAGGUAAUGGCUUACCAAGGCAACGAUGCAUAGCCGACCUGCGAGGGUGAUCGGCCACACUGGAACUGAGACACGGUCCAGACUCCUACGGGAGGCAGCAGUAGGGAAUCGUCCGCAAAGGGCGAAAGCCUGACGGAGCAACGCCGCGUGAGUGAUGAAGGUCUUCGGAUCGUAAAACUCUGUUAUUAGGGAAGAACAUAUGUGUAAGUAACUGUGCACAUCUUGACGGUACCUAAUCAGAAAGCCACGGCUAACUACGUG